rnacentral:rRNA from 1 species
UACGUAGGUGGCAAGCGUUGUCCGGAAUUACUGGGCGUAAAGCGCGCGUAGGCGGGUAUUUAAGUCAGAAGUGAAAACUAUCGGCUCAACCGGUAGCCUGCUUUUGAAACUGGAUACCUUGAGGACAGGAGAGGAGAGCGGAAUUCCCAGUGUAGCGGUGAAAUGCGUAGAUAUUGGGAGGAACACCAGUGGCGAAGGCGGCUCUCUGGCCUGUAACUGACGCUGAGGUGCGAAAGCGUGGGGAGCAAACGGGAUUAGAUACCCCCGUAGUCC